rnacentral:rRNA from 1 species
AACCCUAUUAUUCUUUCACUCUUAAACCUUGGGUAGUAACUAGAUAUUUUCUUCAAACCCAAAGGAUUUGGCGGUGUUUAAUCUAAUCAGAGGAACCUGUCUGGUAAUCGUCGCCACCCGUUAGAUCUCACCUUCCCUCAGCACUCAUAUACCGUCGUCUCAACACUAUCAGGAGAAGCGUGUUUAAAAGGGUAACAUCAAUGUCAGAUCAAGGUGUGGUUAUGGGAGGGGACAAGAUGGGUUACAAUUGAGAGGCCAUUGAAAGUCUUGCUGAAACACAAGGUUGAAACUGGAUUUGAGAGUAAUCUACCUUUAAAACAGGUGGGUGGAUAAGCUCUUAAACAUGCACAUAUCG